UCUCAGAGCUCUGUUUUCAAAAUAAGAGCUUCAGUUUGGUUAUAUGGGCUUCAAUUGAGAGGUGAGGUGAUUUGAUCAAUGUGCAUGUGCAGGUAUUCGAUUUCAAUAAUACUCGAGUAACACACAAAUUUUCCAAAAUAAUAACAAGGUAUGGCAGCAAAGUACAAUUACUUAAGCAUUUUCACAGUGGAAAUCAUUACAUGUGAAAUAAAAUGCUCAGGAUCACAUGACGUAAGGUCAGUGUUGAAGGCCAGAAACACUUUACAGCCAAGUUCAAAGCCCAGGAGCUGAGUGAGAUUAAGAGCAGUUAAGAGUGGAGUUUGACCUCAGAGGAAGUGCCUGGAGACACUGCUGUUUGUCUCAGACAUGGCAGGAACCAGUUCAACAAUCAGACAAUUGUGUGCUUUCACAGUCUUACUGCAUUUCAGCCUAAUGCACUUCCAUUCUGCAGGAGCUGCUCUGCACAGCUCUGUAGACACACAGCAUGGCUUAGUCGGCACAGCUGUGACUCUGGGCUGCAGUUACACUCUCCCCAGUGCAAACGCAGAAAACAUUGACGUGUGGUGGAAAGUGUCCAAGAACGGCGUCUCUGAGACUUUAUUCGCCAGUCAGAAUGAUGCUGUGACCAAACGCACCAGAGGAUUUUCUGUAGACGAGGCCCGGCUCCUGAAAGGAGAUGCCUCUCUACAUCUGGAGAACACAACAAUCAGCGAUGAGGGAGUUUACUCAUGUGGUGUCAUCAUACAGCCUGACCAGUACGAUCGGACCGUCCACCUCAAACUGUCAGCUCGGCCUUUGGUUUCCCUGCCUGAAUUAGUCACAAUAACGACCGGAGAGGAGAAAACCUUACGGUGUGACAUCACAAAGUUCUACCCAGAGCAACUGAAAGUGACGUGGAAGACUGAAGCUGGCGCAGAGUCGGCCCAGUGGGACGUGUGCACUGGAGUUCCGGUUCCUAACAGCGACGGAACGUAUAGCGUCAGCAGCCGCAUCACUGUGAAAGCGGAGAGACUGAAGAGUGACGUCACUGUGUACGAGUGUCAGAUACAGCACAGGUCUUUCUCUGAGCUGUAUAGCGAGAGUGUAAGCGUGAGAGUUGAAGGUCCGGUUCAGCCCUUUAACACUUUGGCUCUAAUCGCUGGAACAGUUAUAUCAAGUGUUUUCAUUACAGUUUUGGCCAUCGGAGCUGCAGUGAUGGUUUACAGAUAUUUGCAUGCAGCCCCUCCUACAGUGUCUGAUAUAGUCAAACCUGACAUUAUUUAUGCCAAAACACCGACCAAACUGAGCUGCACUAUCAGAGGAGUUCAACCUAAACACCUCAAAAUCCAGUGGUACAAAAUGCCAUCCUGUAACAGCAGAGCAACCGGCGUCACUGAAACUGAUCCUUUAAUAGGAAUGGAAGACCUGCAGGAUCUAACACAGCUAGAGUCCGAGGAGAACGUCCACAUUUCUACUGUUACUCUUAAACUGACUGUAGAUGAUGACAACAGAGGAUACUGCUGUGUGGUUCACUGUGGCAAUAAGAAGAUCAUCAGAAACACAACAGUCAGAAUCCAAGUCCCACCAGACCUUCUGCAAAUAUCAAGCCAACCUCAGAUCCCCAAACUGGGUCAGCCUCUGGUGCUGUGCUGUCGAAUUGAGAAGUUUUACCCAGAAGAUAUCCGGCUGGAGUGGCACAGGCAGGGCACAGAGCUGCUACAGUCUGCCACCCAGUUUGGUCCAUUCUCUGACCACGAGAAGCUGUACAGCCUGUGGAGUAAGACUGAGCUAACGGUGGCUAGUGUGGAUAUUGGAACAGUUUGUACUUGCAGAGUCUACCACAACAGCUUCCCCGCACCGUUCUAUAAGGACGUUCCCUAUCACAUCAACACAGACGGUCAGCCCCCAAAUGUGGCUUUCAUCAAAUGUGACCCUCCGCAGCCUCAGUUAGGAACAGAAUGUACGCUGAACCUGUGCGUGAAGAAUUUCUGCCCAGAUCCUGUCACAAUAACCUGGUUUCAAGAUGGAGAAAAGAUCUCUGAUGGAGCCUUUGACUCCCCGGCUAGUCUUAACUUGAACGGUCUUUACUCAAUGUGGACCUUUCUCAAACUGACCCCCUCCAAACAGAACCUCAGCUCAGUGUUCAAAUGUGUGGUGGAGCACAGCGCUCAAAUGGAACCGGAGGAGAGACAGUUCACCCUGGCACAUUUAAUGAAAGUGUGA